GAUGAACGCUGGCGGCGUGCUUAACACAUGCAAGUCGAACGGAAAGGCCCAAGCUUGCUUGGGUACUCGAGUGGCGAACGGGUGAGUAACACGUGGGUGAUCUGCCCUGCACUUCGGGAUAAGCCUGGGAAACUGGGUCUAAUACCGGAUAGGACCACAUUUUGGAUGGUGUGGUGGAAAGUUUUUCGGUGUGGGAUGAGCUCGCGGCCUAUCAGCUUGUUGGUGGGGUAAUGGCCUACCAAGGCGUCGACGGGUAGCCGGCCUGGGAGGGUGUACGGCCACAUUGGGACUGGGGUACGGCCCAGACUCCUACGGGAGGCAGGAGUGGGGGAUAUUGCACAAUGGGCGGAAGCCUGAUGCAGCGAAGCCGCGGGGGGGAUGACGGGCUUCGGGUUGGAAACUCCUUUCGCUAGGGACGAAGCGUUAUGUGACGGUACCUGGAGAAGAAGCACCGGCUAACUACGUG
rnacentral:rRNA from 1 species